rnacentral:rRNA from 1 species
ACGAACGCUGGCGGCGUGCCUAACACAUGCAAGUCGAGCGGAGACAGUGAGUAGCUUGCUACGAACUGUUUUAGCGGCGGACGGGUGAGUAACGCGUGAGCAACCUUUCCCAGACAGGGGAAUAACACACCGAAAGGUGUACUAAUACCGCAUAAGACCACGGGAUCACAUGGUUCUGAGGUAAAAGAUUUAUCGGUUUGGGGUGGGCUCGCGUCCGAUUAGGUAGUUGGUGAGGUAACGGCCCACCAAGCCGACGAUCGGUAGCCGACCUGAGAGGGUGAUCGGCCACAUUGGGACUGAGACACGGCCCAAACUCCUACGGGAGGCAGCAGUGGGGAAUAUUGGGCAAUGGAGGAAACUCUGACCCAGCAACGCCGCGUGGAGGAAGAAGGUUUUCGGAUCGUAAACUCCUGUCCUUGGAGACGAGUAGAAGACGGUAUCCAAGGAGGAAGCCCCGGCUAACUACGUGCCAGCAGCCGCGGUAAUACGUAGGGGGCAAGCGUUGUCCGGAAUAAUUGGGCGUAAAGGGCGCGUAGGCGGCUCGGUAAGUCUGGAGUGAAAGUCCUGCUUUUAAGGUGGGAAUUGCUUUGGAUACUGUCGGGCUUGAGUGCAGGAGAGGUUAGUGGAAUUCCCAGUGUAGCGGUGAAAUGCGUAGAGAUUGGGAGGAACACCAGUGGCGAAGGCGACUAACUGGACUGUAACUGACGCUGAGGCGCGAAAGUGUGGGGAGCAAACAGGAUUAGAUACCCUGGUAGUCCACACUGUAAACGAUGAAUGCUAGGUGUAGGGGGUAUCGACCCCUUCUGUGCCGCAGUCAACACAAUAAGCAUUCCGCCUGGGGAGUACGGCCGCAAGGUUGAAACUCAAAGGAAUUGACGGGGGCCCGCACAAGCAGCGGAGCAUGUGGUUUAAUUCGACGCAACGCGAAGAACCUUACCAGGUCUUGACAUCUUUUGAUCACCUGAGAGAUCAGGUUUCCCCUUCGGGGGCAAAAUGACAGGUGGUGCAUGGUUGUCGUCAGCUCGUGUCGUGAGAUGUUGGGUUAAGUCCCGCAACGAGCGCAACCCUUGCUAUUAGUUGCUACGCAAGAGCACUCUAAUAGGACUGCCGUUGACAAAACGGAGGAAGGUGGGGACGACGUCAAAUCAUCAUGCCCCUUAUGACCUGGGCUACACACGUGCUACAAUGGCCACGACAGAGAGAAGCGAAAUCGCAAGGUAGAGCGGAACUCAAAAAAGUGGUCCCAGUUCGGAUUGUGGGCUGCAACCCGCCCACAUGAAGUCGGAGUUGCUAGUAAUCGCGGAUCAGCAUGCCGCGGUGAAUACGUUCCCGGGCCUUGUACACACCGCCCGUCACACCAUGGGAGUUGGGAGUGCCCAAAGCCGGUGAGGCAACCGCAAGGAGCCAGCCGUCUAAGGCAAGACCAAUGACUGGGGUG